CUGUGUUAAGGAUUCCUCCAUGAUCACACGCCCCGUUUGUACACCAUGCGUGGGAAGACGCAUGCAGACCAAUAAUGGACGUACUUGUGAUGAUUUAAAGAUGCCUCCAAGGUCACGUGCUCUGUUUGCACCAUGCUUAGGAAGGAGCAUACAGACCAAUAAUGGAUGAAUUGUGCACCUUGAAAAGUUCUUCCAUGGUCACCUGAGGCAUCUGCGUCAUGAUUAGGCUCAGGAUGACUAAU